UACGUAGGGGGCAAGCGUUGUCCGGAUUAUUGGGCGUAAAGAGCGUGUAGGCGGCCAAACAGGUCCACUGUGAAAACUCGAGGCUCAACCUCGAGAGGUCGGUGGAAACCGUCUGGCUAGAGUCCGGAAGAGGAGAGUGGAAUUCCCGGUGUAGCGGUGAAAUGCGCAGAUAUCGGGAAGAACACCCGUGGCGAAGGCGGCUCUCUGGGACGGUACUGACGCUGAGACGCGAAAGCGUGGGGAGCGAACAGG
rnacentral:rRNA from 1 species